UACGGGGGGUGCAAGCGUUGUUCGGAAUUAUUGGGCGUAAAGAGCGUGUAGGCGGCCGGAUAUGUCAGAUGUGAAAUCCCUGGGCUUAACCCAGGAAGUGCAUUUGAAACUGUCCGGCUUGAGUAGGGGAGAGGGAAGUGGAAUUCCUGGUGUAGAGGUGAAAUUCGUAGAUAUCAGGAGGAACACCGGUGGCGAAGGCGACUUCCUGGCCCUAUACUGACGCUGAGACGCGAGAGCAAGGGGAGCAAACGGG
rnacentral:rRNA from 1 species